AACGAACGCUGGCGGCGCGUCUUAAACAUGCAAGUCGAACGGCAGGAAGGGGCUUGCCCCUUCUGAGAGUGGCGGACUGGUGAGUAACACGUGGGUGACAUACCUUUUAGUUGGGGAUAGCUAUUAGAAAUAGUGGGUAAUACCGAAUGUGACCGUACCUGUUAGAGGGGUACGAGGAAAGGAGCUAAGGCUUCGCUAAAAGAAUGGCUCGCGGCCCAUUAUGCUCGUUGGUGAGGUAACGGCCCACCAAGGCGAUGAUGGGUAUCCGGCCUGAGAGGGUGAACGGACACAUUGGGACUGAGAUACGGCCCAGACUUCUACGGGAGGCAGCAGUUAAGAAUAUUCCGCAAUGGACGAAAGUCUGACGGAGCGACGCCGCGUGGAUGAAGAAUGCCGAAAGGUUGUAAAAUCCUUUUAAGCCUGAUGAAUAAGCACAGUAGGGAAUGAUUGUGCGGUGACCGUAGGGCUUGAAUAAGCACCGGCUAAUUACGUG
rnacentral:rRNA from 1 species